GUGCUGUCUUCAGCAGCACAUAUACUAAAAUUGGAAUAAUACAGAGAAGAUUAGCAUGGCCCCUGCACAAGAAUGAGACACAAAUUUGUGAAGUGUUAAAAAAAAAA
ensembl:snRNA U6 U6 spliceosomal RNA